AUGAACGCUGGCGGCGUGCCUAAUACAUGCAAGUCGAGCGAACGGACGAGAAGCUUGCUUCUCUGAUGUUAGCGGCGGACGGGUGAGUAACACGUAGAUAACCUACCUAUAAGACUGGGAUAACUUCGGGAAACCGGAGCUAAUACCGGAUAAUAUUUUGAACCGCAUGGUUCAAAAGUGAAAGACGGUCUUGCUGUCACUUAUAGAUGGAUCCGCGCUGCAUUAGCUAGUUGGUAAGGUAACGGCUUACCAAGGCAACGAUGCAUAGCCGACCUGAGAGGGUGAUCGGCCACACUGGAACUGAGACACGGUCCAGACUCCUACGGGAGGCAGCAGUAGGGAAUCUUCCGCAAUGGGCGAAAGCCUGACGGAGCAACGCCGCGUGAGUGAUGAAGGUCUUCGGAUCGUAAAACUCUGUUAUUAGGGAAGAACAUAUGUGUAAGUAACUGUGCACAUCUUGACGGUACCUAAUCAGAAAGCCACGGCUAACUACGUG
rnacentral:rRNA from 1 species